UUUCCGUAGGUGAACCUGCGGAAGGAUCAUUCAUAAUAAGUGUUUUAUGGCACUUUUUUAAAUCCAUAUUCACCUUGUGUGCAAUGUCAGGGUUGAUUUUUCUCUCGAGAGGAUCAACCCCAAACAUCAACUAUAUCUCAACCCUUUGUCUGAAAAAUAUUAUGAAUAAAACAAUUCAAAAUACAACUUUCAACAACGGAUCUCUUGGCUCUC
rnacentral:misc_RNA from 1 species